GACGAACGCUGGCGGCGUGCUUAACACAUGCAAGUCGAACGGAAAGGCCCUGCUUUUGUGGGGUGCUCGAGUGGCGAACGGGUGAGUAACGCGUGAGUAACCUGCCCUUGACUUUGGGAUAACUUCAGGAAACUGGGGCUAAUACCGGAUAGGAGCUCCUGCUGCAUGGUGGGGGUUGGAAAGUUUCGGCGGUUGGGGAUGGACUCGCGGCUUAUCAGCUUGUUGGUGGGGUAGUGGCUUACCAAGGCUUUGACGGGUAGCCGGCCUGAGAGGGUGACCGGCCACAUUGGGACUGAGAUACGGCCCAGACUCCUACGGGAGGCAGCAGUGGGGAAUAUUGCACAAUGGGCGGAAGCCUGAUGCAGCAACGCCGCGUGCGGGAUGACGGCCUUCGGGUUGUAAACCGCUUUCGCCUAUGACGAAGCGUGAGUGACGGUAAUGGGUAAAGAAGCACCGGCUAACUACGUG
rnacentral:rRNA from 1 species